UACGAAGGGGGCUAGCGUUGCUCGGAAUCACUGGGCGUAAAGCGCACGUAGGCGGCUUUUUAAGUCAGGGGUGAAAUCCUGGAGCUCAACUCCAGAACUGCCUUUGAUACUGAGAGGCUCGAGUCCGGGAGAGGUGAGUGGAACUGCGAGUGUAGAGGUGAAAUUCGUAGAUAUUCGCAAGAACACCAGUGGCGAAGGCGGCUCACUGGCUCGAUACUGACGCUGAGGUGCGAAAGCGUGGGGAGCAAACAGG
rnacentral:rRNA from 1 species